AAACUCCCUUUUAUCUUCUACUAAAACAAGAAAAUUCAAAAAAAAGAGGUCAGUUGUUGUUCUCGAAUUUUGUCCCCAGCCAGUCAGCAUUAGGGUUUUAAACCCUAGACUGAGCUUUUUCAUGCAUGUCAGCAUUAGGGUUUUAAACCCUAAACUGAACUCUUUCCUUUAGUCAGCAUUAGGGUUUUAAACCCUGAACUGAACUUUUUCCUUUAAUCAGCAUUAGGGUUUUAAACCCUAAACUGAAUUUUUCCUUUUAAUCAGCAUUAGGGUUUUAAACCCUAAACUGAACUUUUUCAUUUCAGCCAGCAUUAGGGUUUUAAACCUUAAACUGAGCUUUUCCAUGCAGUCAGCAUUAGGGUUUUAAACCCUAAACUGAAUUUUCCCUUUAGACAGCAUUAGGGUUUUAAACCCUAAACUGAACUUUUUCCAUUCAACCAGCAUUAGGGUUUUAAACCCUAAACUGAGCUUUUCCAUGCAGUCAGCAUUAGGGUUUUAAACCCUAAAUUGAACUUUUUCCAUUCAGCCAGCAUUAG
rnacentral:lncRNA from 1 species